rnacentral:snRNA from 1 species
UGCCACGAUCCACUGAGAUUCAGC